GACGAACGCUGGCGGCGUGCUUAACACAUGCAAGUCGAACGAAGUGGCGAACGGGUGAGUAACGCGUAAUCAAACUGCCCUUCAGAGGGGGACAACAGUUUGAAACGACUGCUACUACCGCAUACCGACGGAGUGGUUUGCGUCUGAUUAGCUAGUUGGAGGGGUAACGGCCAACCAAGGCGAUGAUAAGUAGCCGGUCUGGGAGGAGGAACGGCCACAUUGGGACUGAGACACGGCCCAGACUCCUACGGGAGGCAGCAGUUGGGAAUCUUCCGCAAUGGACGAAAGUCUGACGAAGCAACGCCGCGGGAGUGAGGACGGCCUUCGGGUUGUAAAGCUCUGUUAAUCGGGACGCGGUACCGGAAUAGAAAGCCACGGCUAACUACGUGCCAGCCGCCGCGGUAAUUC
rnacentral:rRNA from 1 species